UUGUAAUGAUUUCAGCUUUUCUGUCUCUCAGAAAAUACUUAUGACUGAAGGGAUAAACUGAGGCUCCCCACCACCAUCGGAAUUUCUCACCUAUGUAUUCAUCAUGUAAGCAGAGUUCAAGUAUAAGUAAUCUUUAUAUAUUCAUGUUGGAAUGUUAUACAGUGUCUGGUUUGACUGCCUCUGAAUCAUGGUAGUAGUGCAUGGGAGGACAUGGAAAAUAAACUAGAAGAGCUGAUGGAUAUAGUUGGAGGAGACACUUCAUACUGUUUCCCUUCCCAUAUGAUCACCAUUAUAGGCAAUGAAUAGAGGGAUGAGAACAACUCAGUGGAAAGGGGGCAAAUGUGUGUGCUCUGAAAUCUUUGGGGGCAAAUGUGUGUGCUCUGCCUAAUUUCUUUUAAUUAUAACCAUCACAAAUGUGUGACACUGUAAAAGUUUGUGUAGCCUGCCCUGAGCCUGGAUAUAUAGAGCGAUCAUGCAGGGCAAAUAUACACACUGGAUUUUCAAUUACAGUGGCGAAAGCAUAGUGACAGAAAAUGUGAAUCAUUCCUGUUUCAAUGUUGUGUAACAACCAGAAGCCUGCAUAGCUCCCUUAAAGGUAGGCACAUAGAAGUGUGUUUCACUUAGGACAGUGGGUUGGAUCUGAGCAUGUACAGUUUGGUUGAUGGGAGUGAAUUUCUCUGCACCCUUUUCAAGAAGAAGCUAACUCCUGUCCAGUUGCUCAGAAAUGCCAUGUAGAUUUACCCUGCAGCUGAACAUCAGAGUAUAGAGUAUGUGGAAAAUCCCUUAAAAUUUGGUGGAUGCACAUUUUGGAAGUCAAGCUGUGAUCAUAGAAGGUGUCUCUGACUAAUUUUUGCUCCUUUCUUCAACAGAGUCCACCCCAGUCAACAGAAAUCCUUGAUCCCAUUUGUCCUACUUUAGGAAGUGGGAGAAGCUAUGACAGGGAGGAAGGCAUGGUUUACCAGCCCCAUUCCAUUUCAACAUAAAACUUAAAUACUGUAUAUACAUAAGCCAACUUCAACCAACAUGUACUUGAGUUACAGAUGCAAAUAGGCUGUUUUGUUUUAAGUUUUAUGUUAACUGUGUAAAAAUGGAAUGGGGCUGGUAAAGCAAACUUUGCGUUACUGUACUUUUAUACCCCAUCUUUCUACUAGAAAGUAGUGCUCAAGGUGACUUGCAGUCUUUGUGAAGAGUUUUACCUCUUCUCUUCAGUAGCCCACAGAAGCCACCAAAAAUCUUCCUGUUUGAGGGAAUCUACUAAUUAGAAUGCCUUGUGGUUUGCAAUGCAGAGGUGUAAGGGGGCAAUAAUAAGAAAGCAGGGCAUGGUACCUUCUGCAUCUCAGAAGAUGGUGCAGACCAAUCUACUAGCCCUGCCCAUAUAAUAUGAUACUAGGGUUGUGGAAAUCUCUCCAACUUGUCCCCACAUUUUCAAGUUUUGAGAUUUUUACUUCAUAUUAUUUCCACGCCAAAUAAGGUGAUCUCCAAAAUUUUAGUAAAUGCAUCAAAAAUCAGAUCGCAUGAGAUUUU
rnacentral:lncRNA from 1 species